rnacentral:RNase_P_RNA from 2 species
UCGGCAGGCCGGCUUAUCGCUGCGUCUUUUACUAGACGGAGAGGAAAGUCCGGGCAACGCAGAGCAUCCUGCUUCCUAACGGGAAGGCACUUGGCGGGAGACGGCCAGGUGACAGCCAGUGCCACAGAAAAUAACCGCCGGCUUCGGCCGGUAAGGGCGAAAAGGUGCGGUAAGAGCGCACCAGCGGCUAGGUGACUAGUCCGGCUGGGUAAACCUCAGGAGUUGAAAGACCAAAUAGGCUGGCAGCGUCUCACCCUAGGGUGGGACUAAGGGCGGCUCGUCCGAUGUCAGUGGGUAGGUUGAUGGAGCCUUUCCGUGAGGACUGGCCUAGAUAAAUGAUAAGCCAUUUGCCCGUAGGGCGAAGGACAAAACCCGGCUUACAGGUCUGCUGAUUUU